UACGGAGGGUGCGAGCGUUAUCCGGAUUCACUGGGUUUAAAGGGUGCGUAGGUGGGAAUGUAAGUCAGUGGUGAAAUCUCUGGGCUUAACUCAGAAACUGCCAUUGAUACUAUGUUUCUUGAAUUUUCUGGAGGUCAGCGGAAUAUGUCAUGUAGCGGUGAAAUGCUUAGAUAUGACAUGGAACACCAAUUGCGAAGGCAGCUGGCUACAGGGAUAUUGACACUGAGGCACGAAAGCGUGGGGAUCAAACAGG
rnacentral:rRNA from 1 species